ACAGUUUGACUAACGGAUGUAUUAGAUUGUCCCAAAAUUAACACUUUAAGUAUGACUCUGGGAUGAAAAAAACUUGAUGUACUAAAUGUUGAAAACCACGAAAUAUAAGGGUAGUAAACAGAGUUUAACCCAAAAAAGAAACAAGUGUGGAAGGAGAAAAGAAAAAUGCAUAAAUCACUGCUGUUGUUGUUUUAUGUAGGGGUGAAUUUUUUUGCCAAAUUGCUGUGCCAAUCGUGCCAUAUCGAUUUUAUGCCAAAUUUUUUGUGCCAAUCAGUAAUAGUAUGGUAUUGUACCGUACCAAAAUUUUAUGGUACGGUAUUGGUAAUGGAUACCAGUACCACGAUAUUACCGUACCGUAUCGAAAAUAUAAUAUAAUAUAUAAUUAUAUUUCUUGCAGUCCUAUUAGAUUAGGAAUAUAAUUGUAUAAAUCGUAGUAUAUCUUGAAAUAUCUCUUAUAUUCCGAUUAGGAGUUGAUUACCUAUUAAGAGUUGUAAUCCUAAAAGGGUAAGGAAUUAACCUUCCCUAAUACUGUAAAUAAAGGCACAAUGGGUGGAAUAGAAUACACCCACAAUUACACAUCUCUCUUCUCUCUCUAUGCCGCACUCUCUUCCUGUUACACCCAUCCCCAUUUAUAAAAAUAUAAUUAUGAAAUUAUCCCCAAAAUGUUAUUAAUUUAUCAAUUUAGUCCUAAUUCUAUUAGCCUAUCAGGAUCUAUAACUUUGAUUCUCUUUAUUCUUAAGCUGCCACGUGGCAGCACCCUAGCAAUCUCACAUUUCUUUCUCUGUCCCCUACCCCUCCCGUGACUUCAUCUUCUUCUUUCUGUCUCUCUUUUCUCUCCCUCUCGAAACCCUUAUCUCUCUCCGUCUCUUCACCUAGAUCGCACACACACUCACACGCAAAGGCACGCUAGUGCUUGAAGAAGGCACCACCAUCACCAAUCCCUCAUCAGCUCUCUCUUUAUUUCUCGUGCUGCGAGGACAAAACCCAGAAAACGAUCUCCGGCGAGAUUUCCCAUUUCUCCGAUUAGGUAAGCCUCGAGUUCUUCCUAUUUCAUCCUAGAAUCAUGUAUGAAUGUGUUUUAAAUGGGUUUAUUUCGUUGUGGUCAAGGUUUUAGAAUUAGGUCUGGAGAAGGCACACCCAGCUCCGGCGAGGCCAUGGGUGUCAAGGGAAUUUCUGGUCAUCUUUGGCCAUUCUACGGCAAAAGGAAGGUAUAAAGUUGUUCCUCUCGUCUUGUGUUUAAUUUUGGCACCUAGAUUGGAGUCUAAGGUUGUUAUUUGCAGUUGGCCGGAGCUGGGAAAGCUCCGGCAUUCUUCUCCGGUGCACCAGGCCUUUCAGGCCGUCUCCAAGGCACUCAGGCCUUAGGCCUGUGGUGAGUUCAGACCAAAACCCUAACCCAUUUCCUUUUUUAAUUUUAUUUAAAUUGUUUUAAUAACCCAAAAGGCCUUCGGGCCUUUUUGUUUAGGUCAUGUGGCCUGUUAGACCAACCCAAAACCUUUUUAGGUUUUAUUUAAUUUUUGUUUUAGAAAUUAAAGCCCUUGGGCCAUUUUAUUUAGGGCCUUAGGCCCGUGUGUAUAGAAACCUUUCAUUUAAGGCUUUAGGGCCAUUUAGGGCUUGGGCUUUCAACCAUUUCCCAAACCCAUUAACCUCAAAUCUAAACUCAAAACCCUUAGGACCUAAGUGGCCCAACCCAAAUCCAAGCCCAGUCUGACCUUUAACCAUUUGACCUAGUUGACCGUUGACUCGGUCAACGGUCAACGUUGACUUUAACUUUAACCAAUCAAUGGUCAAUGUUAACUUUAGAGUUGACUUUUCGGGGUUUCGUCCGGGACCUCUCUUAGGCUAAUUUCGACGUUCUGGACCCAUUUUUGAAGUCCGUUUUCCCAAAUUCAAUCGUUUGAAUACAGUUUGACUAAAGGUACCCCUUUAUGUGAAUAGGUGCAAUUAUUAGCGGUGAUUCCGUUAUUCCUUUUCGGUACAGCUUAGCACCAUCGGUUUACGGUGAGUGGACCCCUUCAAAAAGCAUGUUUUAAUAGUAGAAAUGCAUACAUGAAAAGCAUGAUUUAAUGAUUAUGUUUUAUGAAAUGUUUUAUGAGAUAACAUGCUUACGGAGGCUAGAUUGAAUUAUUACUAUUUUUCCUAUAAUCCAUGUUCUUAUAGAAUAUCUGAUGGAUGACGAUAUGAUAUUUAUAACAUGUUUAGAACACCUCUUUAUAGUAUAGAUGAUGGAUGACUUUAUACUAUGAAGUUGCUUUUCAAUAUAGAUAUAUUCAAUAGUUUUGUACUUACCUAGUGGUCCUUUCCGCUACGGGACGUAGGGAUAGAUUCUGGUCCGUCCUGGGCAACGGUUUAGUGUUGGCAUAGGGCCUGGAGUAUGUUUCCUCUGGCUAUUUAGCACAGGGACGGGGAGCCAGCAUGGGGCCUGAAGUGUAUUUUCCUCUGACUGUCUGCUUAGAGACGGGGAGCCGGCAUAGGGCCUGGGGGUUAUCGGACAAUUCACUAGUGAUUAUUAUAUAUACAAGUUAUGAAUUUGAGACACUACACAACAUGUUAGGUUUCGGAAAAACCUAUGUUUAUUAUUAUAUAUGUGUUUUCAUAAAACCUGGGGGUUAGUAUGUUGAUAACUGUUUUAUUAUAUAUAGAUCAAAUUGGUCCACUCACAUUUGUUUUGACCCCCUUCAGGACCUAUGAAUGAGGAUUAUGAUCUAAGCUACAAGGCAUUUCCCUACCAGUGAUUUAGUGUUAUAUCUUCUUUGCUUCUGCACCUAUUGCAAUAUAGCACUUCUCUAUCUUAAGUUCCGCUUGUACUCUGUAAUAGACUUAUGCUCUGAACUUAUGUGUAUGACCAUAAUUUUUAUUAAUUAGUAGUUGAACUUUAGUUUGGUAUUAUUAGUUCCUAUUGCUUGUUUUAGCAUAUUUCUCAGCUUUUACUUAAAUUAAAUGGCUUUCGUCACCCUUCGGGUGUCGGCAAGCACGUGACCAUCCCGAGGUCCCGAGGACAUCGGGGUCGGGGCAUGUCACUCCCUCUCUUUAUGGCCUCCAUAAUUGUUCUGUAAAUUAUGCCUACAACACGAUAUCAGCACGCUCUUGAUGAUGCGCUAACAAGAGAGUUUGAUCUUCAAUUAGGGAAGUAUUACGUUUUAAUUAUUCUUUUUAGGGAACUUUAAUGAAAAGGGCUUGGGCUAAGUUUAUUGUAACAAAAAACCAUGCUAUAACUUUUUUUAAUGAAAAAGAAUCAAAAUUUAAUGAAAAACCCUUAAAUUUUAAUAAAAAUGACAAAAAAACUUAAUUUUUAAUGAAAAGGAGACAAUUAAAAAAAAAAAAAAAUCUGACGUGCUUGCAUGACCUUACUGUUUAUGAAACUGAACACUAUUUAUAAAAUUGAAACUAUUUAUGAAACUGCACUAUUUAUGAAACUAAACGGUACUAUAUUAUUUAUUGGUCAAAUUUCAUAAAUAGUGCCUAGUUUUUUGUCCACAUUCAUAAGUAGUGUCUAGUUCUUGAUCAUGUUUCAUAAAUAAUGCCUAUUUAUGGGUCCAGUUUCAUAAAUAAUGUAUAGUAUAUGGUACAAUUUCAUUAAUAGUAUCUCUUUCUUGCUUCAAUUUCAUAAAUAGUUUCUAGUUAUUGGUCUACUUUUAUAAAUAGUGCCUAGUUAUUGAUCAUGUUUCAUAAAUAUUGUCUAGUUCUUACUCCAGUUUCAUAAAUAGUGUAUAGUACAGUUUUAUAGAUAGUUUCCACCUAUUGGUUUAGUUUUGGAAAUAAUGCCUAAUUCUUGUUUUCGUUUCAUAAAUAGUGUAUACUUAUUGGUAAUGUUUCAUAAAUAGUGUCUACUUAUUGGUCUAGUUUCAUUAAUAGUGUCUACUUAUUGGUGAAGUUUUAUAAAUAGUGUUUAAUUCUUGGUUCAGUUUCAUAAGGUUUGAAACUUAGUCCCUUUUUGGUCCUGUAAAAGCACUCAUUGUGUCGAAAACGAUGACCCAAAAGUGACUCUUUAGAUCAAAACCUUGAGAAGAUUAUGUUCUCAGUAAUUAUAUUUAAAAAGCUGUUUUCAAUUACCAAAUUAAAAUUUCCUCACUUUUUCAUAUACCUACAAUAAUAAAUGUAGCUCUCCAUCAAAUUUCUUGAGCUUGGAUGUCAUCUUGGAGAAAUUUUUCCUUGUGUCCGUAACACAAAUGGUAUACCACAUUUAUAUAAGCGUGGUGGAAAAUUUUAUUUUUUAUGUUAUUAAUUUUUUAACAUAAGAAUCUCACAACUUGUAUGGAGUGUACCAUCCCGUGUUCUAGGCACAUUGAAAUGUUUCUCGUCAUCAUGACUACUAUUAGAAAACAGCACCACAAAAAUAAAACAUAAGAAUGUAAUUCAAUUCGAACUAUUUUUCUUAUUCUAUGCAACAAAAAAAAAAAAACUAAUAAUGUAGCUGACGAUGGGACAAAAGGUAGGAGAAGAAAAUGGACUAUUUGAAUUUGGUUUUUUUUUGGGGGGGGGGGGGAGGGGUACGCGCCUAGCACAAGUGGCUUUGUUAAGUUUUUUUUUUUUUUUUUGUUUU
rnacentral:lncRNA from 1 species